UACAGAGGGUGCGAGCGUAAUCGGAAUUACUGGGCGUAAAGCGCGCGUAGGCGGCUUUGCAAGUCGGGUGUGAAAUCCCCAGGCUUAACCUGGGAACUGCAUUCGAGACUGCAUUGCUAGAGUAUGGGAGAGGGAAGUGGAAUUUCCGGUGUAGCGGUGAAAUGCGUAGAUAUCUGGAGGAACACCGGUGGCGAAAGGCGGCAUCCUGGGACCGGUAUUGGACGCUGAGGCGCGGAAAAGCCAGGGGAGCAAACGGGG
rnacentral:rRNA from 1 species